UACGUAGGGGUCGAGCGUUGUCCGGACUUACUGGGCGUAAAGCGUGGGUAGGUGGCCACUGAUGUGCCGUGUGAAAGCGCCGCGCUUCUCGCGGCGAGGUCGCGGUAGACACAGUGGCUCGAGGCACGGAGAGGGGCGUAGAAUUCCCGGUGUAGUGGUGAAAUGCGUAGAUAUCGGGGAGGAAUACCAGUGGCGCAAGCGGCGCCCUGGCCGUGACCUGACACUGGAGCCACGGACGGCGUGGGGAGCAAACGGG
rnacentral:rRNA from 1 species